ensembl:antisense 4933431E20Rik RIKEN cDNA 4933431E20 gene
GGGAAGCGUGAGUCAUGUUGCACAGUUGAGCUGGCACAUAAAACUACGAGUCACACCAGAAGAGGGCAUUGGAUCCCACUAUAGACUGUUGUGAGCCACCUUGUGGUUGCUGGGAAUUGAACUCAGGACCUCUGGAAGAGCAGUUGGUGCUCUUAACUGCUGAGUCAUCUCUCCAGCCCCAGGUAACCUCAUUCUGAUGCUCAGGAUCCACAAGUUAGUCGGAAAAUGAUAAGCAUAUUGUGGAGUAAAACAGCACAAAAGGGGAAAGGCCCCUUGCGGGUGGGACCAUCCCUGGGCUGGGUGUCUUGGGUUCUAUAAGAGGGCAGGCUGAGCAAGCCAGGGGAAGCAAGCCAGUAAGGAACAGCCCUUCAUGGCCUCUUCAUCAGCUCCUGCUUCCUGACCUGCUUGAGUUCCAGUCCUGACUUCUUUCAGUGAUGAACAGCAAUGUGGAAAUGUAAGCUGAAUAAACCCUUUCCUCCCCAACUGCUUCUUGGUCAUGAUGUUUGUGCAGGAAUAGAAAUCCUGACUAAGACACCAGGCCUCCCGGAGCCCCAAGUCUGGGUGUGGGAAAUUAUGUCUCCCCGUUAGUUUAACUGACUCAAACUUCAGACUUUGUAAAAGGACAUUUUUCUAAAAUAAAGAAGAAAUGGUACAGAGACAUGUGACUGUAUAAUGCCUGGGUUGAUUCCUCCCAAGAAAACAAAAGCCAGCAACAAAUUAACUUGAGCCACGAGUCUAAAACUUCUAGAGUAGUCUAAGUAUUCUACUUGUUUCAUGAUAUAUCCCAAUUCAGGCUAAAUAACUUUGUGAUUAGGUGUUCUGCCCAGUUUAUAGAACAAGGAAUUGAAGCUUGGAGAAGAUUGAUGGACCACUCAAGUUCCCUGGAUGGUCCAGGAUGCAGACUGAGGAUGGCCUAAAACAUUAGUUUUGCUGGCUCCCUGUGCUUGGCUAACUUUAGAGCCUCUUACCUUGCCACAGUCUUUUCUAUGAAGGACAGAGAGCCAAGGAGUGGACCAACAUGCCUGAGUUUACACAGUGGACCUGAGGACCGUCACCUCCCAGUGCAAUGUUCCUGUGUACUGCCACUGAAGAGACAGGUGGGAGGGAGCUCAAGGUUGACUUGCCUAACAACCAUUGCUUGAAAGACAAAGCUCCCAAGGAGAGCACAAAAUACCUCACUCGAGACUCCUCUGCAUCACCAACCAGUGUGAAGAAAGCCUGCAGCUGUCAGCAGAGUAUUCUUUGUCUCGGUGACACGCUGUGCCUACAGUUGGACUAGAAACUUUGGAUUAGGGUGUGAGUCGUGCCCCAUAGGACAGAGGUGGUGCAUGUAGCCUCAUUUUGGAGUUUAUUUAGAGAGGAGAAAGAAUGUACCAUAGUCCCCAAAGGCUCUAGGUUACAGUGAAUUCUCUUUAGUUCAGUUAUAGUUUAGUUUAGCUUGGUUUGGUUAGCUGUGGUUCCGUUCUGUUCCGUUCUGUUCUGUUCGGUUCAGUUCGGUUCAGUUGCAGAGUUGUUGCUCUUUCAUGCUUUGCAUCCCAACUCCCUGCUCUCUCUUGGCUUUGGUUCCCAUCAGGUCCAGAAUAAAUGGCAAGGAGAGGGUCAUAGAACAAGUUAAACGAUGCUUUUUAUUGGCAGG